GACGAACGCUGGCGGCGUGCUUAACACAUGCAAGUCGAACGGAAAGGCCCUGCUUUUGUGGGGUGCUCGAGUGGCGAACGGGUGAGUAACACGUGAGUAACCUGCCCUUGACUUUGGGAUAACUUCAGGAAACUGGGGCUAAUACCGGAUAGGAGCUCCUGCUGCAUGGUGGGGGUUGGAAAGUUUCGGCGGUUGGGGAUGGACUCGCGGCUUAUCAGCUUGUUGGUGGGGUAGUGGCUUACCAAGGCUUUGACGGGUAGCCGGCCUGAGAGGGUGACCGGCCACAUUGGGACUGAGGUACGGCCCAGACUCCUACGGGAGGCAGCAGGGGGGAAUAUUGCACAAUGGGCGGAAGCCUGAUGCAGCGACGCCGCGUGCGGGAUGACGGCCUUCGGGUUGUAAACCGCUUUCGCCUGUGACGAAGCGUGAGUGACGGUAAUGGGUAAAGAAGCACCGGCUAACUACGUG
rnacentral:rRNA from 1 species